CCUGAUGCAAACUUUAUUAGAUAUUUGACAGGGUAUUAAAUAAAUCUAUAUUAAUAACCACACAUACAUAUAAAAUUUUAAAAUGAUAAUUACAAUUUAAUGUAAAGAAACAAAUGCAAUUUAAAUUCCAAGCGCAUCCCAUAAGGCUAUUUCUUCAUAGGAGGCAAAGACUAUAAAACGGGUCGAUGUCGAACAUUUACUAUCACAUACAUAUAUUGUAUUCGUCUGUUCACUUGACAAAUAAUUUUUAACGAUCAAAAUGUUCAAACUUUUUAUCUUCGCCUGCUUCCUCGCUCUCGCUGCCGCCAAGCCCGGAGUCCUGCCUCUGGCGUACACCGCUGCAUACACCGCCCCCGUCGCUGCUGCGUACACAGCCCCAGUGGCUGCAGCGUACACCGCUCCAGUGACUUACUCCGCGUACACGGCUUACACCGCACCAGUGGCCUAUUCCGCUUAUACUUACGCGUCUCCAUACUCCGCAUACUACCUUCGCCGUUGAUUUUUCCAAUGUCAUAAAUUUUAUUUAAAAUGAGAUAAAUAAAUAUUAUCAAAAUAUUUUUGUUUUUGUUUAUAGUAAAUUGUAAUGCUUCAUAAAAACAUGCUGUAACUAAAAACCUUUAACAUUAUUAAACGAGUAAUACAAUUGCCGGUUUCUAUUGUUAAUAUUUUACUAGUCUG
rnacentral:misc_RNA from 1 species